rnacentral:rRNA from 1 species
UACGGCGGGUGCAAGCGUUGCUCGGAAUUACUGGGCGUAAAGCGCGUGUAGGCGGUUUCGUGUGUCUGAUGUGAAAUCCCCGGGCUCAACCCGGGAAGUGCAUUGGAAACUGCGAGACUAGAGUCCCGGAGAGGAAGGUGGAAUUCCAGGUGUAGCGGUGAAAUGCGUAGAUAUCUGGAAGAACACCGGUGGCGAAGGCGGCCUUCUGGACGGUGACUGACGCUGAGACGCGAAAGCGUGGGGAGCAAACAGG